GUCCCGGAUCUCCAAGAUGGCAGCAUUGAAGCACGCCAUAAAGUCUCGUAGAGACUCUCUGUCUUGCUGUCUGACGGAGAAAAGGCUGUCAAAUGUCUGUGGCACCUUUCAAUUGGUAUCGAAGUGCACCAAGAAGAGCUGUCUGAGCUGGUCAAAUGAAUGGAUACUUCUCGAUUGAAGUUUGGAGUAUCAUAUUUGGACAAUCUUCCUGAGG
rnacentral:lncRNA from 1 species